AUUGAACGCUGGCGGCAUGCCUUACACAUGCAAGUCGAACGGUAACAGGUCUUCGGAUGCUGACGAGUGGCGAACGGGUGAGUAAUACAUCGGAACGUGCCUAGUAGUGGGGGAUAACUACUCGAAAGAGUGGCUAAUACCGCAUGAGAUCUACGGAUGAAAGCAGGGGAUCGCAAGACCUUGUGCUACUAGAGCGGCCGAUGGCAGAUUGGGUAGUUGGUGGGAUAAAAGCUUACCAAGCCGACGAUCUGUAGCUGGUCUGAGAGGACGAUCAGCCACACUGGGACUGAGACACGGCCCAGACUCCUACGGGAGGCAGCAGUGGGGAAUUCUGGACAAUGGGCGAAAGCCUGAUCCAGCAAUGCCGCGUGCAGGAUGAAGGCCUUCGGGUUGUAAACUGCUUUUGUACGGAACGAAAAGCCCCGGGUUAAUACCCUGGGGUCAUGACGGUGCCGUAAGAAUAAGCACCGGCUAACUACGUGCCAGCCGCCGCCGUAA
rnacentral:rRNA from 1 species